CAUCCCGUCGUCAAAGGGAGUGGCCCCGGUUUCCUAAACCGGAGAUGGAGGUUCGAGUCCUCCCGGGAUGA
rnacentral:tRNA from 1 species